AUACGGAGGGUGCAAGCGUUACUCGGAAUCACUGGGCGUAAAGCGCGCGCAGGCGGGCUGAUAAGUUGGAUGUGAAAGCCUACGGCUCAACCGUAGAACUGCAUCCAAAACUGUCAGUCUAGAGUGUGCGAGAGGAAGAUGGAAUUAGUUGUGUAGGGGUAAAAUCCGUAGAGAUAACUAGGAAUACCAAAAGCGAAGGCAAUCUUCUGGAACACUACUGACGCUGAGGCGCGAAGGCGUGGGGAGCAAACAGGAUUAGAAACCCCAGUAGUCC
rnacentral:rRNA from 1 species